rnacentral:lncRNA from 1 species
GAUGGAGACGGUGGGCUGGAGGCCGAAGGUGAUAGUGCUGGAGACUUAGCUUUGGUCUUGCUAGGGGCCGGAGCUGGAACCGUGGCAGGAGGAGAAGCCAAAGGAGCUGGUGGUGGGGUAGCUGGAGGAGGAGUAGCAGGAGGGGGAGAAGCAGGUGGUGGGGUAGCCGGAGGUGGAGAAGCCGGUGGGGGAGUUGCGGGAGGUGGAGUAGCCGGGGGAGGAGAAGCUGGUGGUGGGGAGCUAACGGGCGGGGGAGUCGCUGGAGGAGGAGUGGAAACUGGUGGUGGUGAUGAAGUAGGAGGAGGAGAGGAAGCUGGUGGCGGAGAAGUAGUUGUGGGUGUUGGAGGUGGUUGAGUAGUAGGUGGAGGUGUGGAAGCGGGUGGAGUCGGCGGCGCCGGCGUGGAUGUCGGAGGAUUACUAGGAGUAGGAGGAGCUUGGCCUAAAACGCCAGCUACAGCAAUGCAAAACAAAGCUGAUAAGAACAAAAACUUAUUAUUAAGCAUCAUAUUGGAAACAAUGGUGACCCUUUAAUCCUGCACACCCUCUCCGCUUAAACUACGCCCAGCCGUGCAAGCAAAUGAGGGAGAAGAAGAGGCAAGUAUGAGAAAUGAAAAGAUGGUGAUAUUUAUAUAUAGGAUAUGGAAAUUUCCAUAUCAUAUUUCAAUUUAAAAUCCCCAAAACAAAUACCAGCAUUUUUAUUUUAUUACUAAUGGGAAAAUUGCAUUACUAAUCAUAUACAAUAUUCUAUAUUAAUUUAGUGUAAUUUAAUUCUUUCAUUUUUUUAUAAUGUUAUUAAUAGGUCCAAAAUCAAUAUCUCCGAUCGUUAGUUGCUGUCAUUAAAGUGAUGAUACGAAAUUAUUUUUUUUACUAUUAUUCCAUCAUACAAUCAGAGAUAUAGAAAUCAAUCAAUUUUGUUAAACAAAUAAUAAAUUUCAAUCUGAGUCAAAUGCUUAAAGUUGUUAAAAAAAAUUCACGUCAUCACUUUAACAACAUCAACUAAUAGCGUUAUCAAUUUGUACUUUGUAGCUACCAAUAACAUUAUAAAAAUAAAGGGUCAAAUUAUAUAGAAGUAAAGGAUUAAAUCUCUAAUUUCAAUUUAGUAAAGGGACUAAAAUGGAAUUAAACCUAUUAGUGGGGGUCGGAGUUUUUUCCUCGUUUGGUGAGGUAAAAAAAAAAAAAAACCCUAGUGGGGCAUAGUUAUAAUGUCACUUUGAUGAUUAUAAAUGAUGCGUUAGUUAGUCAUACUUUAGGUAAAAAACUGUGAGGUGGGAUUAGUGUAGAUUGAAAAUUUUUAGUGAAGGGGUUAAUUUAUACCUUCAAAAUUUUGCAAUAUUUGGUAGUUCCAUGAAAUAUUCCCCGCUAUUUAUCAACUUUUCAAUCACUCAAAUAGGUUUUAAUUUAGUUUUGUUGUGAAAUUUCUAAUUCAAGCAUACAAUGAGUAGAUUUUAUUAUGGGUCGGGUCGGGUUAUUAUAAAAUUUUAGGUGUAACGUCCCGAAUUUUUGGGCCUAGAAGUUAAAAGAUUUAAGCAUAGGGGCAGUAAGGAGGCCACACAUAAGUGAUUAGUUGUGCACUAUAGUGAUAAGAAUGGGCUUAUUAGUCUAGUGGUUAAAUGGAGUGUUAAUUAAGUUCAAGGUUUUUGGUUUGAGUCACUAUGUGUACAUUUUGGGAGUCUUUUUAUUUUGUUUUUUUUUAGUUAGUGAUAAUAAUUAAUUAUUUUAUUUUAUUUUUAUUAUUUUUCUUUUCUUUUCCACGUUAGUUCUCUCUACUUCUUGGUUUUUUUUUCUUUUUGUUCUUUUUCCUUGGACUUUCAAUUUGUGCAUUCUCUAUGUUUUUGAAUCGUUUGCUUACAGAUUUCGAAUUGUCGCACCUCUAUCGUCUUCUUCGUCGUUCAAUCAGGUGAGGGAUUCAAACUUUAACUACAUUGUUUAAUUUUGCAAAGUUUACGUGCGGCUUUUCUUGAAUAUGUGAUAACCCGAAGGUUUUUGGGUUUUGAUCGUUGGAAGUGAGGAAAAUACGUUAUAUUGUGAUAUGUUCUUGAUGUGGUUAAGGUUAGGGACAGUUUGGGUGGCUAAAACGGUGUUUUCGGGGCUAAUUUGGGGUGGUUUCAUGACCUCUCCGGCAGCUACACGGGCGUGUGCCGUGGUAGACAGUCAUAUGGAUUUGGGAACUAGGGUUUCCAGGCCAAAUUGGAUGCCACACGGCCGUGUGGCCGAUUUGGGGAUUUUGUCGAAAUUCACACGGCUGUGUCCCCUAGGCACAUGGGCAUGUGGGUUUGGAAUUAGGGUUUCAGAGAUUUGAAGUCACACAGCCUGGCCAUACGGCUGUGUGGCUGAUUUUGGGAUUUAGGGAUCCCACACGAGUGUGUGUUUCGUAACACACAACCAUGUCUAGUUGGCACACGGGCAUGUGAGACCCUCACAUAGCCGUGUCUGCCCUGCACCUUAUUUUAGCGAAAUUGGACAGUGAGUUACACAGCCUGUUCACACAGUCGUGUCUCUGCUUCGCACGGGCGUGUGCCUAUGUCACAUGGCCGUGUGCUAUCCUUCACAAGGGCGUUUGAAGCCUCACACGAUCUGGAUUGCUCUACACGGCUGAAGCAUACGGGUGUGUAGCCCUAUCUCGCCAAAUAAUGAUUUUAGGUCAAAUUUAAGUGCAAUCGUGACUCUAUGUAUUCCAACCCUCGACUGAGCUCUAGUGAGGGUAUUUACGACGCUGAUCUGAGUUUGGAUAAUGUGUUAAUUGUGAUUGGUUAUGUGACAUGUUUGAUUCUGAACCCGGGUUAGCUGGGUGAGUGUGUAUGCAACUAGUUCUGUCUGACUGUUUGAAUACGUGUCAUUGAUAUGCGAGCUUAUUUUGCAAUUGCUACUGAAUUCAAGUUACGAGUAUACUUAAGACUAAUUUUGUAACUAACUGAUUGGAUGUGAGCGUCUACUUCUGAAUAAUUGUUUGAGACUAGUAUUCUGAUUGUGUACAUCUGACUGCAUACAUACAUACAUAUGCAUAAACUAUUUUGGGCGGGAUUUUUGAAGAGAAGGUGUUGUAGGCCAAUUUUGGGCCCGUUUACACUUUAGGCCGAACAUACAUCAAACCCAUUUACAAUUAAACCCCAGCAUAACCCACAACCCAAACCCAACAAAUAAACCCAAAACCAAACCCAAAUUUAACCCAAUUCAAAUCCCAUAGACCCAAACCCACAUGUAAGCCCAAGUUGUUAGACCCAACUAGCUUGAUUUAGGGUUUCAAAAAAACUGAAACCCUAACCUACCCCCAGCGCCGCCAACGUCACAUCGCCCAUGCCAGUCCACUUGCACUACCUUUGCUCCACUGUUCAACCACCACCUGCAAAACAAAAGAGCACGCAACAGCAGCGCAAAAAUAGGAAAUAGACAGUGUAUGAACAACAAAAUCGGCUAUAAAGCCGAAUGGAAACCAAUGUAAUAGAAAAUAUUUUCGGUUAUUUUCUUCAUCAAUACAAAAAAAUAGAUUUAAACAUAUACAAGCAAUAAUUCGGGGAAAAUCAAAACACUAGAAUAACACCAAUUGGGCAACCAAAACAUCAAUAUCAAAAGCCUAAGGUGAUUUAAAUCUUUUUAUUUUUAUUUAUUUUUGAAUCAUACAUACCUAUGUAUUUUCAUAAAUAGUAUAAUAAAAAGGAAAAUAAAAGAAUAAAAAAAAGAUAGGAAAUUUUUACCUUUUCCGGCCACCGUGCGACGGUGGCACACGGCGGUCCGGCAACCAGACGUGGACGGCGACCGGCCUUGUGGCCGGAAUUCGCCUCUCCUUCUCCCCUCUCUCUUUUUUUUCUUUGCUAUGCAGAAAAUGAAUUUUUUUUGAAGAUUUUGGCCUUUUUAUAGCUUCCUAAAACGACGUCGUUUUGGGGGUUGCCCUUUAACCUCAAAACGACGUCGUUUUGCCCUGGAUCAGGUCGACCCGACCCUACCCACUCAGGAUCUGAGUGUUUUUGCUCUUAGGGGCUAAUUGCGCACGCGGUCCUUCCGCUUUUUCUAUGUUUUUCAAUCAGGUUUUUUAUGUAUUUUAAUUUGGCCCUAUAAUUAGUUGCGCUUUCCAAUUUGGUCCUCAAUGCUAUUGCGCAUUUUGGGUGGAGAGGCUUAUUUCGUUUUAAGUCCCUCCACUAUUUGUGCGCGUUGAAAUAGGUCCCCUUCCCUUCUUUUUAUUUCAGUUUUUGCCCCAAGCCUUUUAUUUUUAAUUCGAUUCGAUCCUUUUUUUAAUUACUUUAUUAUUAAAAUUAAUUAUUUUAGUAUUAUUGUUAUUAGCACUAUUCAUGUACAUAUAUAUUAUCAUUAUUGUUACUAUUACUAUUAUUAAUCUUCAUAUUAUUACUAUUAUUUCUUUAUUUUUAUAUUAUAUUAUAUUAUAUUAUUAGUUUUUACUAUUAUUAGUAUUAGUUUUAGCUUCAAUUAAUAUUUUUAACAUGCAUAUUUAUAUACUUUUAUGUAACAUUAUUAAUAAUUAUUUUUUAAAAUAUUAUUAUUAUUUUUUAAUACAUGCAUAUAUAUUAUGUGUAUAUUCUUUUAAUAGACAUUAUGUAUAUAUAAUUUUAUAUAUUAUUUUUAACUUUACAUUAUGUAUAUAUUGUUAAUAUCAUAUUAUUCAUAUAUUCUAUUAUAUUAUAUAACUAUAUUAUGUAUGUAUUUUUAACACUAUAUUACGUACAUACUUUCAAUAUCAUUAUUAUUAUGUAUAUAUAUUUUUAAUAUAUAUAUGUGUAUAUUUAUGUAGUAUUAUUAAUAGUUGUUUUUAAUAUUAUGAUUAUUUCUAGUAUAUAUAUAUUAUGUAUAUACUUCUAAUACUAUAUAUUGUAUAUUUCUAAUACCAUUAUUAUUUAUAUGUGUAUAUGUGUAUGUAUUUAUGUAUCGUAUUAUAGUUGUUGUUUUUUUUGUAUCAUUAUUGUUGCUAAUAUAUAUAUAUCAUGUAUAUAUGAUUUUUUUUAUAUAUAUUAUGUAUAUAUCUUUAAUAUUAUAUUAUUUAUAUAUUUAUGCUUACAUAUUAUCUUACGUAUAUAUUUUUAAUAACUAUAUUAUGUAUAUACUAUUACUAUAUAUCUAUUUAUGUUGCAUUAUCAAUGGUUGUUUUUACUAUUAUUAUUAUUCUUAAUAUAUAUAUUAUGUAUACAUUUUUAAAUACUAUAUUAUAUACAUAUAUUUUUAAUACCAUAUAUGUACAUAUCAUUAUUAUAUCUAUUUUUACCCCUAUUACAUUUGUUAUUAAUAUUAGUAUAUAUUUUAUUAUACGUGUAUAUAUAUACUUUUUAAUAUAGUAUUAUUUUUAUAUAUCAUUAUAUUUAUUAUUAUACUUAUUAUUUUCGCUAUUGUUACUUAUUAUUUUAUUUUAAUAUUAUUGUGUAUUAUUUGGUAUACAUAUAUCUUUUUGUACAUAUUGUUAUUUUUUAUUAUACGUAUAUUAGUUUAUUAUGGUAUUAAUACAUUUUUACCUUUUUCUUUUAUUGUAAAUAUUAUUUAUUAUUACUCUAAUAUCCUAAUAUUAUAUUAUAAUACUUUUUAUUAAUCAUCUCAUUAUUUUGCAUCGUUUAUUUACUUAUGAAUUUUUGUUAACAUCAUCAGUUUUUUUUUAUCAUUAUUUUAGAAACAUUUUUAUUUUAAUAAAUAAUGCAACGUACCGAUUUUAACAUUAAGUUUGUGAUUUCAUCGCUAUGUUGGGUGAAUCACGUUGGCUCGUGUUAAAAACGGGACAUCCUUCAAAAAAACCAAAAACUUGAAAUUUCUCGUGUCUUGGUCGGAUCAUGAUUAAAUAUUAAAUUAAACUUGUAUUUUUGAAAAUUAAGACAACGCGUAAUUAACAAGAUACUAAUUUUGGGCGUCGUGAGGGUGCUAAUACCUUCCUCGCGUGUAACCGACUCCCGAACUCUAUUUUCCUCUGGAUUUUCACGUAGACCCAAAUUCGGCCUUCAUUUUUGUUCAAGAAUAAAUUUUCUUUUCUAAAAAGAAGAUUUAUUAGGUGUCUGAUCACACCUAGAAAAAAGAUCGGUGGCGACUCCUUUUCUUUUUAAAACCGAAAUUCCAUUUUCAAAUAAUCGCCUCAACUAGCGACCGGAAAGUGAAAUUUUUACGUUGCUACAGAAGGAAGAUUGACUGAACUGAACUGAUAGCUAAUAUGUUGCCCCUAAUACCCAGAGGGUCAUGGGCGGUCCCAAUACCCUGAGGAUCGUGGUUAAUUUGACUGUACUGCGGACUAUCGCACUGUACUGUACAGAACAUACAUCAGCACCGCUGCUAUCAUUGACUAAACUGGCAAUUUUACUGCAACCUAACGAUAUAGCGGUCUACCGCAUUGCAUUGUACCGCAUGUACGUUAGCUACGCUACGUACUAUUAUCUGAUCUGGCAGUUCAUACUGCAUGUCUGUACCGCGGUUCACCGCAUUGCACAGUACAACCUAUACGCUGGCUUUCCUACGUAAUUUACGUGACUAGCAGUUUAUCUGCAUACUGUUAGCCCAAAUUCCCAGAGGGUCGAUGGCAAUCCCAAUACCCUGAGGGUCAUGGACAAUGCUGAUGAUCAUCGUUGUCGGGUAACCCGGGAUGACAUCAUAUGGGGUGUAGGGUUGGAUGGGCUUUGCGAGGUCCUGUAUGGAGUGUUUGGUGGGACAAGCUUAAAGCUUUUAUGAGAAGUGAUGGGGGACGGAGAGGUGUGUUGGCUGGAUAGGUGGAUAUUUUUAGAACUCAUUUGUACUCAUAUGUAUCUGAUUGAUCUGUUUAACUGAAUUGGAACUUGUGAAUGGUUGAGAAUUAUUGCUACUGUGACUGAAUGUGAUACUGUUCGAUUGAGAGGCACUUGUGCCUAUGUGAAUUUUGUAGAUUCUGAUUGCGACUGUCUGACUGGAUUCUUACUGUGACUGAUUAAGAUUUGUUGCUACUCUGUCUGAGUGGUACUUGUGGCUGAGUGUAUCUAACUGAUUGAGUUAAAACUAGUGGCAGAAUAGCACUAUGUUUGUGUAGCUGAGUGUAAUUUUUAAUAUGCAUUAACAAAUAUCUGUCUGUCGGUACGUCCGUUUCGAACGUACCCUUUGGUUCUGAAUAGCUCUGUAAGUAUGUUUUAUUUCUGAACUGCUUUUAGUUCCCUGUUUCUGUCUCUGUAGUUUAACUGGUUUGAUCUCAAACUGAGCUCGAGUAGCUCACCCCCUCUUUCGUUUCCCUUUUCAGGUACAAUUCUGGAUUAUGUUGAUGGACUUGGCACGCGAAGGUCUCAGACAGUCUCGCAAACAAAUAAAUUAUCAGUUUUGUUUUCCGUUACGAUUUUGUUAUUUGGUUAACUUUGAACUGUAAGGCUUUAUAAUACUGUGGUACAGUUUCCAUUUUAGAUUUUCAUGCAUACGUUUAUUUUGGGUUUUAUAUUGAGUCUUACUGUAAAUUUUAUUGACUGAUUAUUAAAUGGUUUUAAACACUUUUGGUUCACUGAGAUGAGUUAUUUUGUAAAAUUUUCCUACGAUCACUUCGGUGAUCAAUGUAGCAUUCCGAAUUCGGUCUAGACUUUUAGGCCGAGUUUGAGGUGUUACAUUAGGUUUAUUUUUUAGGUUCUAAUUUGACUCGAAAAAUAGGUCUAAAAUUUUAACUAAACCCAGUUUAGAUAAAAAUAUUAAACCCAAGUCCAAACGUAUUAAACUUUUUAUAUUAUUAUUUAUAAAAAAACAAAUUUAAAAAAUAUAAUACAUCAAAUACACUAAAAAUAUUAAAAUAGAUGUUUCCUAAUAAAUUGAAAAUACAUUAAAAAAGUUUUUAUACUUAACAAGCAAAUGCCUUUAAAAUAGUAGCAAAAUUAACAAGCCCAUGAUUAGGUCUAAUGAUGAGUUCUUUUGUUAGUAAUGUUUAUUUUGGUAUUUGAGUUUUUUCUGUCUUAAUUUGGUACUUAAUUUUGACUUUAAUUUUUUUCCAAUUAAGCACUUAAGUUUGGCUUCAAUGUUCAAUUUGGUACCUAAUUUUUUUUGUCCAAAUUAAUUACCUAUAUAUUUUUUACCAAAGCAUGUGUGUCAAACAUUUAUUGGAUCAUAUGAUGACAUUUGGCUUAGGUAUCAAAUUGAAUAUCAAAUUCAAACCUAAGUACUAAAUUGAAACAAAAAACACAAAUACUAACUUAAGUAUUAAAGCUAAACUCAAGUAUCAAAUUGUAUAUUAAUCAUUGGUAAACAAAAUUUCAAGGAUUAGCAUCUACUAAGCUUUCAUUUUCCCUUUUGCAUGUUACAAUUGAUAUUUGUUUAACGCAUAAACUUGGUAUCUUUUUUCCCGUAAUGAUCCAUUUUCAACAAUUUUUGUACACCUAUAUUAAAAUCUGAAAUAAUUUGGUUAUCUUCAACAUACAUAAAGCUGUUAUAUUAAAGUUUAUUUAUAGUUGAGAUUUUUAAAGGAUUUUUAUAAGAUAUUUUUUACACAUUCUUUCCAUGACAUUAAGGAGUAGGGAAGAAAACGUGGUAGUGUUAAAAGGAUCAGUUCAUCUAAACAAGCGGAAAGUCAAAAUAAGAAACAAAUUAAGGAGGAGUAGGGGACUCACACAUCCAUAACAUAUGCAUAUGUUAAUAUUAAAAAUUUACACAACGCAAUUGUAAAUGGUGAGACUUGGACUUCGAUACUUAAAGACCCAAGAUAUCGCCUUAACCAAUAAUGUCAACAAGAUCUCAUUAACUUUUUAGGAAUUUUCUUAACUUCACAUAUAGGGAUUAAAAAAUUACGAUAUAACUCAAUAUAAUAUUAAAGAGUAAAAGUUAAUCAAAAUUUACAUAUAUCACUCAUUUAAUCAUAUGUGUACAGAUAAAAGGAAGCCACUCAUCCUCUUGCCAACCCUACGUGUAACAUAAUUCACUAUAAAUUCCACCUACAUAUACAUACAUACAUAAAUAUAAAAGAGAAUUUCAUGGUCUUGGACUAGAUUGGCUACAAAAUUUGACAAACGGCAUGUGUAGGAGGAUUAAAUUCGAUGAAUUGCAUGAGAGUUUCUCCUUUUUGAUAAUUUAGUACAUGAGAGAAUAAUGAUGAUUGUGGGGGGGGGGGGGUGCUCCAUCGAAAUAGCUGGAAUUUAUUUAUUUUAGUGAACUGGCAAAUGUAAUUUGUACGCCAAGUUAUAAGGUGAAAAAGGGAGAAAUCAUAUAGAUUUGGUUGGUAAUGGUAUGUUGAUGUUGGAACACCUGCGGUGCACCGCCACAAUUAGUAGGCCCCUAGCCCCGCUGUCACCCCAUCAUAUGUGCUUUUGGAUGGAUCCAACAUUUUCGUGUUCUUUCAUUCUUCAACAUCAUCAUUAUUAAUUAGUUACUCUUCAAUUUCUAUAUGUAAUUUGCUUUCUUUUCAUUCAUAGGUUUUCUGUUUUCUGUCUUUGAUUUUGUCUUGUGCACAACUGAUGUCCUCCAUUUUUUUCCCCUUUUGUAGAAUUGGGUUUGUCACUUUAAUAGUGCCCGAAAUUAUUUUAUGGAUUUUUUUCAUCAUAUCAUUUAUAAUCUAUUUUUAGUUAUUUAAUGAUAUUUUAGUAAUUUUUUUAUGUUAUUGACACAUAAUUUUACUAAUUUUUUUACCCAGAACCCUCAAUCUUGAGUUUAGAAUCUUGAACCCCGAACCUUGAACCCUAAACUCAAACAUUAAACUCCAAACCUAAACCUUAAAUCUUGAAACCCUCAAGGUUUAGGUUUGAGGUUUAAGUUCAAAUUCAAGUUUGUAGUUCAGGGUUCGAGGUUUGAAAUUUAAGGUUCGGGUUCAGGGUCAGAGUUCAACAUUCAGGAUUCUAGGUUUGGGGUUUAAGAUAAAAAAAAAUUACCAAAAUUAUAUGUCAAUGACAUGAAAAAAAAAUUACUGAAAUGUCAUUAAAUAAUUAGAAAGGGACCAUGGAUGAUGUGGUGGGAAUGGUCCAAAAAUAAUUUCUCAUUUGUAUGGGAUAUUAUUCAUUAUCUAUUAUAAUUUGAUAUCUCUAUUUUUAUAAUAUUAUUAGGGGAAAGGAUUGUAUGAAACAGUGACGCCAUGUCAUCUGUAUCCCUUUCCAAUAAUUUUAUGCCAUAUCAUUACUUUUAUCCUCAAUUUCAGGAUUUUAUCCUGAAAAAAAUCAAAUCCAAAUUAAAAUCCUGAAAUUCAGGAUAAGAAUAUUGAUGUGGCAUAAAACUAUUGGAAAGGGAUACAGAUGACGUGGCGUCACUGUUUCAUACAAUCCUUUCUCUGUCCAAAUUUAUAACAAUGUUGAUUGCUUCACUAAAAUGAGAAGGUCCAAAAGAGUUAGAAGAUGUUAUUGAGAUUAAUAAAGGAGUAAUUUAUUUCGAGAUAGAUUAAUAUAAUUUAUUUGUGUUUUUUAUUUAAAAAAAAAAGUAAAAGGACGUAGUAAAGGAAUUUUCAUGCAUCAAUAAUUUAUUAUUUAAACUAUGAAAUUUCAAAAAAGAAGAAAUUCAUGUUGAAAUUGAUACUAUCAAGCAAUUUAAAAGUGUAAAAAUUUCAGUAUCAGCUGGAUAUUUAAUGUCAAAUAAACUAAAGAAAUGAGAAACACAAGCCAAUUGUCCACAAUGAUUAACUUGUUCCUAAAAAGAAAGUUGUACAUAGACUUUGCUUAUAAAUCAAUCCAAUUUUUUUUUAUAUAAAAGGAAACAUAUUACAUACUUAUAUUGAGUUAUUUGUACCACAACCCACUUAAAUUAUGAUUUUAAUUUUCGAUUGAGUCUUAGUUCAAUUGAUAUUGGCAUUAUUAUCUGUGGAGGAGUGGAUUCAAGUGCGCUGAAACGCAUUAUCCUUCUAUUUAAAUGUUGGGAAGGAACUAUAGAUUCGAAAGCAGAUAUGAUAAGAACCUAUAAUAAAAUUAAUGUAAUGCCUCCUUUUUCCUUUAAAUCCUACUUAAAACACACUUACUUAUUAUUUGCUAAAAUAUUGACAAAUCUAUAAUUUGAAUUCGAACAUUUAUAAUUCAAUCUUGGUCCCUUUAAUACAAAAAAUGUUGGCUUCACCCUUGAUCAAUUUAGUCAUCAAGUUUUUUUUUUUUAACAUAAAUUUCAAUAUAGAUUCUUAUCAUAUUAGCUCUUUUUGAUACAAUGCUUAUAACUAUCCAUAGCCCUUCCCCAAUCAUUAAAUAGUAGGAUAAUACACUUUAACGUAUUCGAAUCCACAUCCUCUUCUACUGACAACAAUGUCAAUCAAUACAAUUUUAAAUACGAGUGUACUACUUAGAUAAUCAUAUCCAAGGUACACAUACUUUUAAAAUUUGAUCCACACACUUUAAAUAUACCCCACCUCUGAUCUAAUCUAGCAUUUAUCACCUAAGCUGACGGUUAGAGGAACAAAAGAACUUGAUUGAUAUAAUAUCAAUAUUUUAUAGACUCAAUCGUACCAUAAUUAUGGACGUUUUCGCUGAGUUAACUCUAUAUCUAAAUAAGUCAUGGUAAACAUUCAAUAUUAAAAAAGAUAAAGGGAAAGUAUAAUAACCCAAAACACCAAAUUUUGGUUGGUUUAAUUUGCAGCUUUAACCAAUGCUUUUGCAUGAUCCAUCAAUUAGUGAGGAUUUUGAUCUUAAUUGGAGGGUCCCAUUCGGUUAUUAAGCUCUUUUUCCACCCUCAUGAUUGCCAUAACAUGGGCCCUUACCGUUUUACUUUGGAUACCCUUUUAUCUUUGCUUUGCUUUGCUUUGAUUUAAGGUUUUAUACAUAAAUGGUCACUUAAACUAUACCUCAAUUUUUAGAUUUGUCCUUAAAGUUUUUUUUUUAUCAAGAGUGGCCCCCACACUAUCAAAUUUAUCUCAUUUUACCCAAAAAGCGUACAAUAUCCAAUAAAAAUAUUUAAAAUGUGACGCGUGUCACAUUCUUAUUGGUUAAUAUCAUUUUUUGAAUAAACAAAAAUAAAAUUAACAGUUUAGCGAUCACUUUGACCAAAUAAAAAAGUUUUAAGGACUACUUUAGGAAUUUAGAUAUAACUUAAGAGUUAUUUUAUUAAUAAAGCUUUGAUUUAUUCAUCAAUUAACACUGAAAGAGUUUUCCUUAAUUUACUCAAAUGGUCUUUUUGUUUGUAUCACCUAACAUUUUGAAGAACAUCCUUUCUCUGUGUACCUCAUACAAUUCGUUAAUACGAAAAUUUUAUGAUUUUUUUAAAAAUAAAUUUAAUUGUCACGUUGCAGGUUACAAAUACUUUUAAAUAAGGGCUUUUUUCAUACAAGAAUACCAAUUAAAAAAUAUCUUCAAAGGUAUAUCAGUUAUACUCAGAUCAAAAUGUUUAAACUUAAUUUAUCUAAUUUCUUCGGCAGGGACCUAACCCAAAAUUGGUAAAAUUAAAAUUAGAUCUUUAUAAUUUUGAAGCAUUAAAAUUGAAUUUUUUUUAAAUUGUAAAAUUAUAAAUUUAGCCCCUAAAAAAAUUAUAAUUCAACUUCAGCCUCUAAAAUUUUUUCCUCUAACUUCAUCUCCCCAUAAUUCAAUAUAUUUAAAAAAAUUUGUGACUGACAUUACCAACAAAAAAUAUAUUUAUAAUUAGUAUUUAAUAUACAAUUAAUGAAAUGUUUUAAUUCUAUAAGCAAUGUUCAAAAUUUUCAUAUAUCUCAAUUUUUAAUAUUUUUUUUAUUAAAUCAUGAAUGAAAUAUAUAUUACCUUUCAGAUUUUACUUGUAGAGUCUAAUAACUAUAUGACGCAUUAAAUCAUUAUACAUAUAUAAGGUCAAGUGGUCCAUAGGUAGCUUAGAGUACAAGGGAUUAAGUUGAGGGUCUCUUAUCAUUUUCCCCAAAUGUGAAGUGAUGUUAACUGCUUAGCUUUCUCCUCUUGCCCCAUUCAUUUUCCUUCCUUUCCACAAUAUAUAUUGUAUAAGUAUUUAUGGGUAAUCGAUUGAGUAUUUACUCGAUUAAUAUGAGUAUUAAUGUCAAUAGAGGAGGACGUAGAUUUGGCGCAUUAUUCUUCUAAUCAUGGGUUGAGAGGCUAUGAGUAGUUUUAAAUAUUAUGUCCAAAAAAAACAGAUAUGAUUAGAACCUAUAAUAAGAUUAUUUAAAAAAAUAUUUAUGGGUAAUCAGUUUAUACAAUUUCGAUUAAAUGUAUAAAUCCAAUCAUUAAUCAUUAAAUUGUUUUACUUUAUGCCAUAGUAUUGUUUUAACUGCAUAAGCAUGUGGGUUAAUGAAAACUACUUAUAGUAUCUCAAUUAAAUGUAAUCAACAACCUCAACUCAUAUCUCCCAUCUCUCUCACUCUCAAUUAUAUAACCUAUUAAUAAUUAACAUUAAUAACCCACUUUCAAGUAGAUCUCAGGCUACCUGCCAUGCCAAGCCUAAAGCUUAUAAGAUGCUUGAAAAGGUUUGCACAAAUAUACAAGAAUAAGUAGGAUAAUGGUUUGGGCAAAAAUUAAGCUUAAUUAUUUAAAUUAUAGAUUAAAUUUAUCGAUAAAUCAUGUUAAGCGUAAUGAUAAGAUAUAUUAUACUCUUAAGAAAAGAAUGUAGAUUCAAAUACUAGAAACGAUAUUGUUAGGAAAAGUAAUCACAAAUCUCAAACAUGAAUCAUAAAAUAAACAUAUAAAAUACUAAAAAAAAUCGAAUUUAAACUCAUUUAAAAUUGUUGAAACAUGGAUAAUUUAACUCAAUAUUGCAACAGGAAUUUCGAUAUAGUUUCUAUAAAAUUUAGUGUUACAAUAUGAUUUCCCAUAGAAGUGUGAUAAAAUCAAUAAUGUUGACUUGUAUUAUUGCAUUAAGUAGUGCAUGAAAUGUAGGAUUCUAUUGUAAAAGAGAAUUAGAUAAAAUUGUAUAAAGUGCAUACUAAAAACUGUUUUGGAGGCUUUAAAGAAUUCUAUUCGCUUAAAAGGUAAGAGUCUACUUCAUCAGCUAAGGUUUACAAUGUAGGGUAAGUGUUCAAUCGAAUUAAGUGAAAAAAUUUUGAGUUUAUCGAGUUGAUGAGUCCUAUUUUAUCAUACUAACUUGAUUUGAAAUUUUCUCGAAUCGAGUCGAGUAAAAUGAAAUUCAAGCCAAAUCAAAUCAAGUGAAAUUAUUUGAGUUAAAUUAAAAAAUUAAACAUGUCAAAUUAAAAUCUUGUUAUAGUAUAACUAAUUUUAUGUUAGAGCACAUAAAUUUGAAAUCACAUAUAUUUGAAAACUUUUUCAAAGUAAAAUAAGAAAAAAAAUAAUUUAAUAUAAUAAACUUAAAUUAUUAAUUAACUUUUAUUUAAGUCCCCAAAAUUAUUAUUUUAAAAAAAAUUAAAUUUUUAACUUUCUUUAUAUACUUUAUAAUUUUUUUAAAAAAAUAUAAAAUUUGGAAUUUUUAUAAAUAUUUUGAAUUUUAAAAAUUAUUAUGAAAAUUUUGAAAUUUAUUUUGUAUUUUUUGUUGAAAGAGAUCAAUUUGCUUUUUUUUUUAAAAUUAAUAGGGACCAAAAGGGGUAUUUAUACCAAUCUAUUAUUCGAGUUAUUCGAAUUGUAAAAUUCAACUUGACUUGAACUCAGAACUCGAAUUACUUAUUCGAUUUAAUUCGAAAAAAUUGAAUAAGAUUCAAUUAACUUAGAAUUCGAUUUUUAUUUUAUUUUUUUGAUCAAAUCGAGUUUUGUUCACCCCUAAUAACUUGUUAGCAACUUAUGCAAGAAUUUUUUAAUUUUAAAAUAAAAGCUAAUAAGAUUAUUUUAUCUUGAUAUUAAAUGCUAUUUAUACAACAUAUAAAAGAUGGUGGAUACACACAGUUGGGGUAGACUUUUUGAGUGUUUCAUUUUUCGGGUUGAGGGAAUAUUUUGCAAGGUAAAUACACCUUGAUACCCUAGGUAUUAUUUGGAGAAUUUUAUUCACUUGUAUGCAAAGAUGUUUGCAAUAUGUGAUAAUAUUUUGGGAGAUUGGAUGCAAACAAUUGCAUACUAGUGAAACUACUUUUUAUCUACAUUUUGCAAGAUAGAUACAUUAUAAUUAGAGGUGUCCAUAAGUCGGAUUGGAUCCAAUCAAAAUUUUAUACCCAUUUGUCAGGCUAAAAAUAUUAAAAUUCGAGUCCCAUCUGGCCCGUUCGUAUUAAUUUUUUUAUAUAAUUUUUUAAAAUAUAUAUAAUACAUCAACAAUACUAAAAACAUUAAAAUAAAUGUUAAAAACAUUAAAAUAAAUGUUCCCCAACAAAUUGAAAAUAAAUUUACAAAUUGAUUAAUAAAUUUUAAAAAAAUAUGUAUACUUAAAUAACACUAAGAUAUGUAUAACUUAACAAGCAAAUACCUCUAGAAUAGUAACAAAAUUAAAAAUAAAACAACAGUAAUACAAUAUCCAAAUAAUAACAAUAAAAUAGUAGCAAUAUAAUUGUGAAAUGGUAGCAAAAUAAUGAAAAAGAAGAAGAAAAAAAAGAAAAAAAUUACAAUUCUUUUAUUUUGCAUAUUCGGGUCGGCUAUUUUCUAAACGGACCUUAUUUUUCAGCCAAAAAAGUCUUACCUGAGGCUCAACCCGUUUUCUAAACAAGCCUUAUUUUUUUGCCUAAACACAUUUUUCGGGCCUAUAUUUUUAUCCAAACCCUCCCACUUUUCAGGUCGGGCCACAUGUACAGGUUUAACCAUGAUAUAUUAGGUAUUAUUAUAAACUACUAAAUACUAAAUAAAAAAUAACAUUUAAAAUUAAAAAAAUGAAAAGAAAAAAAAACUUAAAUGAAUAUAUACAAUGUAACAAGGUACAUAAACCUACAUUGUGACAAGUGUCGCAACUUUAUUUUUUUAUUUAAUUUCUAUAUUGUUUAUCUAUUAAAUAAAAUUAAAAUAAUUUAAACACAAUUUUAUCUUAAUGUAUUACAAAAUUUAAUUAAAAUAAAUGAAAAUUGUUAUUUGGAAUAUAUGGAUUUUAAAAAUAAUAAUAAUUUUCAUUUAAAUAAAUUUUACAAAUAAUAUAUAAUGCUGAUUAUAUAGUUUUAAAUAAUAUUUUAAUAUAUGAAUUGUUAUCUACAUAUUUAUUUAAAUAUAUUACAAGAAUUAAAACUAUUUAAUAACAUAUUCAUCAUAAAAUAAAACGAGAAUUAUAAAUUAUUAUUAUUAUUAUUUUAAAAUAUUUAUUUAAAUAAAACUAUAUGAGCAUAGGUUGUAACAUUCUACAUAUUUAUAUAGGUAAACCAUCAUGAUAAAAACUAUUAUCAUAAAAUUUUGCACUUUUUAUUAUAUGAUAUGUAUAAAAUAGUUCAAUUAGAUAUGAUUAAUAAUAAUAUUUAUGCUCAUAAAAUUAUCAAAUUAUAUAUUACAAUGUAUUUAUAAUGGCUCAAAUAUUAAAUAAUGGUUUACGGGUUGUAAUAUAUAAUAGUUCAAACAUAUUAUAAAUUUGAAAUAUAAUAUAUAUUAUAUUGAAUUAUUAUUAAUAGUAGAUAAUACUGUUAUAAUAAUUUAUAGUAGUAAAAGUAAAGGGUGAGCUAAC